GCCGAGUUAGUUCAUAAUUUUGCUGAAGAAAGUUUCCAUGGCCACCGCUUCUGUCAUUUAUGAUUCUGUGAACUUCUCCUACUUUUUUUUUUGAUUUUGACGAUGAUGAUAUAAAUGUGCAUUUUUCCCAAGAUGAGAUUUCACGAGUUGGAGCCUGCUGUAUUGUCAAUGUCAAGAAUCAAUAUGUCAGGCCUUCUAAUGAAGAUCCACUUCAAGCUUUAAUCCAGGACACGUUUUUGGACAAAGCAGAAUCCAGUCUCCUUCUUUUCAGUUAUGUAAGUCAUACAAUUUGCUUCCAGCGCAGAGCUGUUGAGUGUCCUGCUAUUUUGGAAACCAGUGUUGAAUAGGAUUACUUCUUCAAAUUCAGUCAUGGAAACAUGAUUUCAACGUAUAAAAACUUCUCAUUAAAAAAUGAAUUUUCUGUGGUGUGAUUGACAAGGAUCAGUUUGAGGACUAUGGGUUGGCUUAUACAUACCCAAAGCUUUAUGGUUCAAGUGCUGCAGGAAACCUGCUUUCUGUUUUUAGUUGUCUCUUCACGGUUUUCCUUCGGGGUUUUUCUCUUUAUAUGGAUUUAGAGAGGACGAAGCAACUUCAAAAAUGUGAAGUGGUUUGUCAAAAAAAGUACUCUAUAAGACCUUUGGCCUUGAUGUCAAUGCGCAGAUAAAUAGGUAUUCAGAACGAUGGAGGAAAACGAAGAAAUGGAAAAGCAAAGAGAAAUGCGAGAGGAAGGAAUGGACACGGU